rnacentral:rRNA from 1 species
AUUGAACGCUGGCGGCAGGCUUAACACAUGCAAGUCGAGCGGAGACUUCGGUCUUAGCGGCGAACGGGUGAGUAAUACCUAGGAAUCUGCCUAUUAGUGGGGGAUAACGAAUCGAAAGGUUCGCUAAUACCGCAUACGUCCUACGGGAGAAAGUGGGGGGAUCUUCGGACCUCACGUUAUUGGAGCGGCCGAUAUCGGAUUAGCUAGUUGGUGGGGUAAAGGCCUACCAAGGCGACGAUCCGUAGCUGGUCUGAGAGGAUGAUCAGCCACACUGGGACUGAGACACGGCCCCAGACUCCUACGGGAGGCAGCAGUGGGGAAUUUUGGACAAUGGGCGAAAGCCUGAUCCCAGCCAUGCCGCGUGAGUGAAGAAGGCCUUCGGGUUGUAAAGCUCUUCAGGUGGAAAGAAAGCGGAUGGGCUAAUACCCUGUUCGGAUGACGGUACCACCAGAAGAAGCACCGGCUAACUACGUG